rnacentral:rRNA from 4 species
CGACUCUCGGCAACGGAUAUCUCGGCUCUCGCAUCGAUGAAGAACGUAGCGAACUGCGAUACUUGGUGUGAAUUGCAGAAUCCCGUGAACCAUCGAGUCUUUGAACGCAAGUUGCGCCCGAAGCCAUUUGGCCGAGGGCACGUUUGCCUGGGUGUCACAC